GUUGAUAUGUAGUUUUUCCUAAACUAUUUGAGUCCACAGUUGACCCUUAGCAGUUGAUGCACUGUUGUGUCCCUGUGUAAGAAGUAGACAGCACGUUCGUGGUCACUGGUGGAUUGAGCUUCGUGGGAUCCGCCUUGUGUCUGAAGCUGGUCCGUCGAGGUGCGAGCCUUUGAUUUCUGGCCUACUUCUCCAUGGUCUGAUGACCUCAAUAGCCAUGGAGUUCACUGCAUUCAAGGACAAGUCGCUUGGAUUUUUGUAUGUCUUGCAACCUGCUAAGCUCCCAAGAUUGUGAUGAUACACGGGAUCUUAAUCGAAAACAAGAUGUUGAUAAAGCCUUACGUGGGGCCGAUUGUGUUUUCCACCUUGCUUCUUAUGGCAUGUUGGGGAAAGAAAUGCUCCGGUUUAUGUGGGUACAUAUAAUGUUGUAUUUGGUGGAAAGGAGAUUGUGAAUGGCAACGAGAGCUUACCUUACUUGCCUAUUGAUGACCAUGUUGAUCCAUACCGGCAUAGCAAAUCAAUCGCAUAAAACAAUUGCUUCUGAAGCAGAAUGCUCGUCCUUCAAGCGAGUAAAUGAUUCUCAAGAUUCCUCAUGUCCCAUGGUCCCUGUGAUUCUAUUGUUAUGCAUUUCUCUAUUUUUCUGGGAUGAAGAGAACUGCUCGGAAAAAUGGAGUAAAGCUAAUUAGUCUUUCUUCGUUGGUAGCAUCUGACAAUGUUGAGCUAGAAAAGGGGGAUGAUUUAGAACUUGAAAGGCAUUCAGCCGUAACUAUCUAGUUUUCAUAAUAGGAAAAUAGUUUUAUGGGCUGUAUAGGAAGAACAAUGGAAAACAUCCUUCUACAUAUGUGAUUCGCCCUGCUGCUAUCUAUGGACUGGGCGAAGAAAGGCGCUUUCCAAGGAUCAUAUCCUUUGCCAAGUUGGGUCUUCUGCCAUCCAAAGUUGGUAAUGUAAAUGUGAAAACAGACUGGUUUUAUGUGGAUAACCUUGCUUGUACUAAUAUUGGCAGGCAUGGGACUUUUGAAUGACGUUCCCAAUAAUGGAGGGCAUCCAGUAGCCGCUGGCCAGCCAUAUUUUAAUCCUGAAUAAAAAGUUGACAAUAUGAGAUGAAUUGGCUUCAAUACAUAGAAUGAUGUUUUCGGUGGAAAUGGAUUAAGGAACUAACCUGCUACCUUAUCAGGGUCUCCGAUCAACAGUUUUGAAUUCCUUCAGCCACUGCUUAGAAGGAUGGGUUAUGAUGUACCAAAGGAUAGUUUAUCUGUUCCACAUGCUCUUAUGCUGGAAUGAUUUUCUGGGCUAUCUAUAUAGUCUUAUACCUGUGGUUGAACCAACGGUGGCUUCCUCAGCCAUUGAUAUUUCCUGCUGAAGUGUACAUGGUAGUUUCAAAAUAUCGUAUUUUCUGCUCGACGUUCUUGCUGGUUGCAUGCCUGGAAAUCAAGUCAAAGAGGCUGCAAAUUAUGCACAAUUAUACUGCAGAAAAAAAGGUUGGAGUGACCCACUACUUCUCGUUCCUGAAAGCCAUGGCUGCCACUAUCUCAUACUGGCAGGAGAGGAAAAGGAAGACAUUGGAUCGACCUACCAUAUAUGCAUGGCUCUAUGUUGUGAUUGGAAUGAUUCCAUUUUUCGGUACUGCUACUUGCCAGACAUAGGACCGGGGCCACUUUUAGGAGACACAGGGCAGUGUUUGUUUUUUCUAUGGCAGCCCAUAUGGGUGAGGCUUUAUAUGCAUGGCAAAUGACAAAAAGGCUGGAUCCUGCAAAUGCAAGAGCAUGGUUUUGGCAAACAUUUGCCAUCGGAUUCUUUUCAUUGCCUUUUCUGUUGAAGAGAGCCGAGAGUUAAAAUCUUGGCAUCAACCAAUGUACUCCUGUACUGUUUGUUUCAUUUUAAAACGACCUUUUUUCCCUUUUGUGGGAAAAUGUCGAGCCAAGCUCUAAGAUGUUAGGCCUAGGCCUAUUAGUUCGA